UACCCUUGACAUCAUCAGAACUUGUUAGAGAUAACUCGGUGCCUUCGGGAACUGAAUGACAGGUGCUGCAUGGCUGUCGUCAGCUCGUGUCGUGAGAUGUUGGGUUAAGUCCCGCAACGAGCGCAACCCUUAUCCUUAGUUGCCAGCACGUAAUGGUGGGAACUCUAAGGAGACUGCCGGUGAUAAACCGGAGGAAGGUGGGGAUGACGUCAAGUCAUCGUGGCCCUUAUGGGUAGGGCUACACACGUGCUACAAUGGCCAGUACAGAGGGCAGCAAACUCGCGAGAGUAAGCAAAUCCCAGAAAGCUGGUCGUAGUCCGGAUUGGAGUCUGCAACUCGACUCCAUGAAGUUGGAAUCGCUA
rnacentral:rRNA from 1 species